UGCAGGAAAUUAUGCUUCGUUCUACCCACUUGCACUGCAUUUUCGUUCGUCUUCAAAGAUACCGGCGAUGUAGACUGUUGUAUCAGCAACCACACAGUACAGGAUCUGCAGAUGAUAAACAGAGAUUCAUGCUGGACCUUCUGUUUAAACGGUUGCCCUACAUCUACAAGCAAUACACCUGCAGUGACCACGCCCACAACACCCACAACGCCCCCAAUACCUGAAAGCGUUACUUGUUCUGCGACCGCUGACAUUGGUGACGGCCAAGGAACCCUCUAC